UACAGAGGCUACGAGCGUUAGGCGGAAUCACUGGGCUUAAAGCGUGUGUAGGUGGAUGGGUAAGUACCUUGUGAAAUCCCACGGCUCAACCGUGGAACUGCUCGGUAUACUGCCUGUCUUGAGGCACUCAGGGGCGAGCGGAACAGAUGGUGGAGCGGUGAAAUGCGUAGAUAUCAUCUGGAACGCCAAUGGUGAAGACAGCUCGCUGGGGGUGUACUGACACUGAGACACGAAAGCGUGGGGAGCGAACAGG
rnacentral:rRNA from 1 species